CGCUUAUUCCACACAGAUUUCACGGUUUUGUAUGUAAUACGAACAUCUUGGAAACACUAAUAGUUAGUUAGACGUCCGUUAGAACUGAAAUUCUGCGAAAAAUGAAUUGAACAGACGCCGAUUUUUAGAUUUGAAUGGAAAGUAGGUCAAUCCCCUCCAUGUUUUCCUCCACCAUCCGUAUACCGCGUCACCUACACCUUAUACACAUGUUCUUUUCAGUACAGCGUAUAUAAAUCCGAUGUAAAAAAAAAGGGGUCAAUCAAACUAAAAACGAAGAUUGAAAGCGAAAAUUGUUGUGAUCUCAUUUCACUGGGGAGGGAAAUGUUUACACGUUGAAAUUAAAAUGAUGUGUGCAUUUUAAAGAAUUAAAAAAAGAAGAAUGCAACGGUUAUCGUUCCCGGAACAAGAGAGAGAACCGAGUUCAUGAGCCCGGGUCCAAGAAGGGCCAUCAUGAAUAGAGGGGGUCGAAGGAUAGGUUUUGGAAUUCUUUAGACUUUUCCCAGCAAACUGGAAAGGUUUCAGCCCUUUUCUCUCUCUUCUUAUUGAGAAUGAUGGAAAGUUUAAAAGGCGAAAGACGACGAUGACGUUGUUCAACUCGCACGCACACACACACAACCGGAGAAGGGAUCUAACGAGGGCUGUUGGAACGAGAAAGCCGCCCACAAGAAGCCAAAGAAAACCCAUAUCUGGUUAUCCAUGAAGAUGAAGAAGAAAGAGGCAAACUCUUGUUCGAGUUGUAGGUCAUUAGGUCAUGGUGCAAUCACCUUCCUCUCUCUAUUCUUCCAUCUGUUUCUCUUCUCUUUUUGGGCUUGCAUAUACACAAAUUGUGUGUACAAAGAAUGGCCUACAGGUAAAAGAAUAAAACAAAUGCUCCAUC